rnacentral:lncRNA from 1 species
AAGGAGCUGGAUGGUCUCAAAAGGACAAAGAGCUUAUGCAUCUACUUCUGAGAACCCUAGAGUCUCAGGCCUACUGAAGCAGAAAGCAGAAUGAAACACCUAGACUGGAGAGGGACGGACAGUGAAUCAAGAUGCAGAACUCUCAGCUUCUUCUCCAGCACCAUGUGUGCCUCCGUGCCUCCAUGCUUCGCACUAUGAUAAUCAUGGACAGAACUUCUGAAACUAUGAACUGCACACAGUGUUAGCUGUGGAGUUGCAUUCCUGGAGGACAGGGAUUCCUUGGGGACACCUGCAGAGAGACACCCUCAGUUCAUCCUGCCAGACCCCUCCUGCAUUCAUCAGCAGCAGAUGUCCAGCAAGGCGUGAUGCCCCUCCAAACCACAUCAGGCAGCAUCCUGAUCCAAGAUCUGCAACAGUGUUCUGGCCACACAGCUGCCACCAGACCCACUGGCAUCUCAGACAGUAUCGUGUUAUUACUACUUAAUACACGUCAGUUACUACAUUUUCCUCCUCCGUUGAUGUCCAUAGCUUCUUUGGUGGACUUGCAGUGAGGAAAAGGAGAGGCCUGCCUGGCCUCUCUCAAGAGACUCAGAGUUUAGAUUCCCCAGAGAAGUAACAGUCCUUUGUAAGUGGCUUGUGCUGGUGCCCCUAGGACUCAACAACUCCAUCUGACUGAAGCAACACUCUUACUGAGGGGUGAAACCACAGGAUUUCCCAAACCUUGCCCAGCAGUUUCAUCCCUGAACCCCCAUGUUAACCCAGUACUACCUUGCUGAUAAUGAAUGAGGCAUUACCCAGCCCUUCCAAAGCCAAAUACACUAAGAACCCUCUGGAAGACCUAACUCAGG